UGUGAUUUUGUUUUCCGGCUUCUAAUUUGAAACCUGUUCAGAAUAUCCCAACAGCAGCCUGUAUCCUCAACUGUUUUACACUGUGGAGAUACAUUGCUGCGUCUUUGUGGAGCUUCAGUGGCAGCAGGCUCUCAAGCCCCAAGAACUGAGGGUGAAAUUGAAGCUGAUGUAUGCAGACAGGAGCCCCUAAGAUGGACACAACACCUGCCUGGUAGCUUUGAGCUCAGCACCUCCCCAGCACUAACUGCCUCAGACAGCCCCAGCCAGAGAUGAGAUAUCCCCUGAUGGGUUGUCUUCUGUCAGACGAUGGGAGCAGGCGGUGGGGUCCUGAAUGGUGGUGGCUGGAGUAGCUCUGCAUGUGCUCACCUCUUCUGACUAAAAACAUGCAAACUGAGAUUUUUGUGCUGACUGGAAGGAUUACAAACUUGCUGAGAUUGUUCCAUAGACACUUAUACUGAAGGCUAAUUUUAAUUGCUGGCUUGUUGCUCAUAAUGUUGUAUUUGGGGAUAACUCACUGUCCCAGGAACAAGGGCCUAGACUCCCUACAUUUAUGGGUAAGGAGGACAGCUGGCAUAGUGAAGACAAGACGAGACACUUUAUUUAUCCCAAGGGAAAUUUAAGAGGUAAAUUUGAUGGGAAACUUGCCAAUUUGCUGAAGGAUUUGGUCGCUGAAGAAAACAUAUGAACAGUUACCUGUACUCACUAUAAAGGAAUGCUGUGUAAGCUUCAGGAUGCUGUAAACAGGAAAAAGUUGACAUUGUA
ensembl:lncRNA